rnacentral:sRNA from 1 species
UAUCUGAAGUCUGACGAGGAUGAGAACCUCCGGGGGCAAGAGGUUCGACUCGAGCGAAGCGAGAGAACGUUGCGCCAGCAACGGCCCGCAGGGCGAGCCACGCAGUGGCGAGUCAUCCUCUAUCACCGACCA